CUACAUGUGACGGGGUAAUUUCUACCGUAAGGAACACAUCUCUUCCUGCUAAGCACGCUCAUUUUAGUGAAAUGUCUGGGGUCACUCCGUGCGCGCAAGUUAGGACGAUGCCGGCGUCGCGGCGCGGCUGCUACCGCCGCUGCUGUCGCUACGGCUCCGGGCCCGGGCGGGUCACGUUAGAUCAGAAACUCUGGCACAGCAGCCCAGGCCGGGCGGCGGGCACGGAGCGGCCGCGCGCGCGGCACUGCAGCCACUGCCUCUUCCGGAUCAGCAUCUCCCCGCGCCCCGGGCGCCCAAUGUCAUGGAGGCGCGGCGGAGCCGGGCUGCGCGCCGCUGCUCGGACCUCGGACUGCUGGGCCGCGCCGCGGCGGUUCCUCGGGCUGCGGAGGCUGGCGGCGGGUGCUGGAGCGGAGCCGAGGGAGAGGCCGCCGCUGCUGCGCGCCCGGCGCGCUCCGGAGGCGCGGCCGCGAAGACGCCUAGCGCUGCAGUCCCGGGGACCGCUCGCGACCUCCUUUUUUCAUUCACAAAAAACGAAAGAGGAAAAAAAAGAAGAAGGGGAGGAAAAGCAGGGGGAAAAAAUCGCAGCCGGGACUGGUACCGUGACAGGCACCGCCCACCGCGGCGCCCCGUUGGUGGAAAGGGGUCGGGGGGAGGAGCGGGGGCGGGGAAAGAAGGAGAUUGGACGCCUCCGCGGCCCCGCCCCGCGGCGGGGUUUGCUCCUUUCCGCGUGACCUCCGCCACCUGCGGGGAAGCUGCAGGGAGGGUCUCGGCUGCCCUGGUGCCGGUUCACAUCCCUCUGCCUGCAGUCUCCACUUCCGUCCCACCCCCAUCCAUUGCCACUGGAUUUCACCAGUAUCUUCUGACCUCUGGAAGAAAUGCCAUGAAGACACGAGGCCUGGAGCUUUGGACUCUGUCUCCAUUUACUCCUCUGUGAAAUAGACACGUUAUACUUA